GAUGAACGCUGGCGGCGUGCUUAACACAUGCAAGUCGAACGAAGCAUUUAAGACAGAUUACUUCGGUUUGAGGUCUUUUAUGACUGAGUGGCGGACGGGUGAGUAACGCGUGGGUAACCUGCCUCAUACAGGGGGAUAGCAGCUGGAAACGGCUGGUAAUACCGCAUAAGCGCCCAGUACCACAUGGUACAGUGUGAAAAACUCCGGUGGUAUGAGAUGGACCCGCGUCUGAUUAGCUUGUUGGCGGGGUAACGGCCCACCAAGGCGACGAUCAGUAGCCGACCUGAGAGGGUGACCGGCCACAUUGGGACUGAGACACGGCCCAGACUCCUACGGGAGGCAGCAGUGGGGAAUAUUGCACAAUGGAGGAAACUCUGAUGCAGCGACGCCGCGUGAGUGAAGAAGUAGUUCGCGAUGUAAAGCUCUAUCAGCAGGGAAGAUAGUGACGGUACCUGACUAAGAAGCGCCGGCUAAAUACGUG
rnacentral:rRNA from 1 species